AGGGGAAAUGUACAACAACAAAAGAUGGCAGAAAUUCCAGCCGAUCGUCUCAUCCAAACUCCUCCUUUCACAAAUGUCGGAGUGGAUGUGUUUGGACCAUGGAACAUCUGCAUCCGCAGGACAAGAGGUGGAGUGUCAGAGAACAAACGCUGGGCAGUAAUGUUUACCUGUUUAGUUACACGUGCAGUUCACACCGAGGUAGUUGAGUCCCUCUCAACUUCAAGUUUCAUAAAUGCUCUCAGAAGGUUCCUUGCCAUAAGAGGCCCCACCAAGUUCUUUAGAUCAGAUUGUGGAACGAACUUCGUUGGAGCGUGCAAAGAGCUUCAGAUAAGUUCAGAAGAUCCUGAGUUUCAAUCCUACCUCAAAAAUGAGACAUGCACUUGGAAGUUUAACCCACCUCACUCCUCUCACAUGGGAGGAGUGUGGGAAAGAAUGAUCGGAGUGGCCCGACGUAUUCUGGACGCUAUGUUGCUGAAAGUUCACUCUCCAAAUCUGACUCACGAAGUACUUGUGACGCUCAUGGCAGAGGUAACAGCCAUAAUGAAUGGUCGUCCAUUAGUACCUGUGUCUUCCGAUCCUCAACAACCCGACUUGCUGACGCCAGGGGCCCUUCUUACACAGAAAAUCUGUCCCGUCUCUAUUCCACCUGGAGACUUUGAUCCUAAGGACUUGUACCGUAAGCAAUGGAAACAGGUGCAAAGUCUUGCCAACUCAUUCUGGAAACGAUGGCGAGAAGAAUAUCUAGCAACGCUUCAACCAAGAAGAAAAUGGCAAGCAGAUCAUACAAACUUAACCAUCGGUGAUGUUGUUCUCCUAAAGGACACUCAGGUUAAAAGAAACGAAUGGCCUACUGGACUUAUUGUGAACACUUACCCUGGUCGAGAUAAGAGAGUACGGAAAGUAGAUGUACGAAUAAUUAAAGAAGGUACUGCUAAGGUGUACACAAGACCUAUUUCAGAAAUUGUGUUGUUAGUUAAAGGUUAAUAGUGUUAUAGCAGUAUACCAGGCGGGGAGUGUGCUGCCCC
ensembl:lncRNA